GAUGAACGCUGGCGGCGUGCCUAAUACAUGCAAGUCGAGCGAACAGACGAGGAGCUUGCUCCUCUGACGUUAGCGGCGGACGGGUGAGUAACACGUGGAUAACCUACCUAUAAGACUGGGAUAACUUCGGGAAACCGGAGCUAAUACCGGAUAAUAUAUUGAACCGCAUGGUUCAAUAGUGAAAGACGGUUUUGCUGUCACUUAUAGAUGGAUCCGCGCCGCAUUAGCUAGUUGGUAAGGUAACGGCUUACCAAGGCAACGAUGCGUAGCCGACCUGAGAGGGUGAUCGGCCACACUGGAACUGAGACACGGUCCAGACUCCUACGGGAGGCAGCAGUAGGGAAUCUUCCGCAAUGGGCGAAAGCCUGACGGAGCAACGCCGCGUGAGUGAUGAAGGUCUUCGGAUCGUAAAGCUCUGUUAUUAGGGAAGAACAAAUGUGUAAGUAACUAUGCACGUCUUGACGGUACCUGAUCAGAAAGCCACGGCUAACUACGUG
rnacentral:rRNA from 1 species